AUAUUUAUCGAUGAGAUAGAUGCUAUAGGGGGAAGCCGUAACCCUAAGGAUCAGCAAUACAUGAAGAUGACUUUGAAUCAAUUACUUGUUGAAUUGGAUGGCUUUAAGCAAAAUGAAGGGAUUAUUGUAAUUGCAGCAACAAAUUUUCCAGAAUCACUAGACAAGGCCCUGGUGAGACCUGGACGGUUUGAUCGCCACAUUGUUGUUCCUAAUCCAGAUGUAGAAGGAAGGAGACAGAUCAUGGAAUCCCACAUGUCAAAGGUCUUGAGGGCAGAUGAUGUUGAUUUGAUGAUCAUUGCUAGAGGGACUCCUGGGUUCUCAGGUGCUGAUCUUGCAAACUUGGUCAAUAUUGCUGCUCUCAAAGCUGCAAUGGAUGGUGCUAAAGCAGUGACAAUGGCUGAUCUAGAGUAUGCAAAGGAUAAGAUAAUGAUGGGAAGUGAACGCAAGUCAGCUGUAAUUUCUGACGAGUCACGAAGGCUAACAGCUUUUCAUGAGGGUGGGCAUGCCCUUGUGGCCAUUCAUACUGAUGGAGCUCUGCCAGUUCACAAGGCAACAAUAGUUCCCAGAGGUAUGUCUCUUGGCAUGGUUGCCCAAUUGCCUGACAAGGAUGAGACGAGUAUAUCCCGCAAACAGAUGCUUGCCAUGCUUGAUGUAUGCAUGGGAGGGCGAGUUGCAGAGGAGCUGAUUUUUGGAGAAAACGAAGUUACUUCUGGGGCAUCUUCUGAUCUGCAACAAGCCACUAAUCUUGCAAAAGCAAUGAUUAGCAAGUAUGGCAUGAGUAAAGAAGUUGGGGUUGUCACCCACAAUUAUGAUGACAAUGGAAAGAGCAUGAGCACUGAGACUAGACUACUUAUUGAGAAAGAAGUGAAGAAUUUCCUGGAAAGGGCUUACAACAAUGCAAAAACCAUCCUCACGACCCAUAGCAAGGAGCAUCAUGCACUUGCUAAUGCUUUGCUUGAGCAUGAAACACUCACCGGAAGUCAAAUCAAGGCUCUGCUUGCCCAUGUGAAUUCACAGCAACAACAACAACAGCAGCAUAUAUCUAACAACCCACCAACUUCUCCAAACUUCUUGAACACAUGUCAAAAAUUUUAACAUGCUAGCUAUAUGGUGAUAUUGUAAAUUGUGUUUACAAAUCCUAUUAUCCUCAUUUUAUCAUUACAUUUUCUCACUUUUUCAAACUCCUAAUGCAAAUAAACAAAUAAAAAAUUGAAUGAAACUCCAGUACUUGACAACUUGAACAGGCCUAUUAUCAUCAUUUAUCCUUAAUUUUCUCACUUUUUCAAACUCCUAAUGCAAAUAAACAAAUAAAAAAUUGAAUGAAACUCCAGUACUUGACAACUUGAACAGGCCUAUUAUCAUCAUUUAUCCUUAAUUUUCUCACUUUUUCAAACUCCUAAUACAAAUGUACAAGUAAAAUCCAAAUCCAGUAUUUGACAACUCAAACGGACCUCAAGCCCUCAACCCCAAGAGAUUUAGAUGAAAUUGGCCCUAACUGAGCCAACAAUUGUUUUUACAACAGGAAAAGCUGCAUAUACAGAAUAAAUUUACCUAAUAUUUGAAAUUCAAGCAGUCUAUGUAAUUAAGCUAAUUCUCUCAGUGUGCAUUAUUAUAAUGCAUUCUACACAUUAUUUUGAGGGGAAAGGAGUAAUAAAUAAGUGAGAUAGCGUGAAAAGAUAUUGUUGCAGUAAUCAAGUUAUAGAUAAACCUAGUAACUUUCUGAACUUAAAGAAGGUUUCUUAUUUUAAAUUUUUCUUUAAAACAAAUUUGAAAAAGAAAAAAGAGAUCUGAGGGAGAGAAGAAGAAUAAGAUCAUGAAGACUAUGAUCAUAUGACAACGAUUCCCUGCAAAAUUACAUGUUAGAAGCACAGUAUUUGAGAGCUGAGAUAAUCUUUCCUGAUGUAUUACAGUGUGAGUGUGUGUGUGCCUGUAUGUAUGCCAGCGUAUAUCAACAAAAGUAUACUCCAAUUAAUAAUUGAAAAAUUCUCCAUUGUA
rnacentral:misc_RNA from 1 species